UAUGAGGAUAUACCAGAUGAUCCAGAUGGAAUUACAGAUGUUGAAAGCAAUGAUGAUGAGCCUAAUUUUGACAAUAAUUUUGAUGACAUAUUUCAAAGAGGAAUUUUCCUGUCAGUACUACCCUAAAGAGACAAAAAAAAAAACAACAACAAAACCUGAUGAAUCACAGAAUAUGGUUGAUGUCCCUUCAACAUCAAUGACAACUAAUCAACCCACACCCUGGUUGUGAUAACAGUGAACGUUCAACAUACGACGAAUGAUCAUGUACAUGUUGUCAGCCAACAUCCUGCAAUAACCAUAACUGAUCCUAAAAAUACAAAAACUAUAAAGGGGACGAAUAAAAAAACCUCAAAUGGAAAAACUUCUACAACGACAAGAAAAGUUGUUAACAAGAAAAAAAAGGGUACAAAGAAAAUUGUUGUACAAAGAAAUUGGGAAAAUAAAGAAUUUGACACUGUAAUCCCGCCAUAUUCAGGAAGACAACCUGGACCAGUCCAAGGAGUUUUUGACAAUUGCAAAACACCUACAAGCAUCUUUGUAAAAACAAUCGAGCCCAUCCUAGACAACAUCGUUUACCAAAGUAAUUUAUAUGCAGUCCAACAAGGUAAAAUCCUAAACACAAAUAAAAAUGAGCUUCUAUCUUUCA